rnacentral:lncRNA from 1 species
UGUAGAGCGGAGCACUGCCGUGGAAGCUGAACAUACUUACUGCCUGGCCCUUCACAAGAAACUGCUGGUCUCAGGGCUAGAACCUGUGCAUGGCCCGCUUAUCCUGCCCUGAGGAAUCCCUGGCUUGAUCUCAGGUAUCCAGAGCUGUCCAAUCAUUCGAUGAAGGCAUUCAGCUCUACAAAAACUGAGUUCGUAACUGCUUGUUCUUGCUUUGUUGCCGCUGGCCCCCACACAGGGGCUUGUGCAGGGUCCUGGGAGGCACCUCCAUCUUUCAG